UUCAGGUGGGCAAGGAGAAUAUCCUAAGGCGUUUGAGAGAAGCCUCUCUAAGGAACUCUGCAUAAUGACACCGUAACUUCGGGAUAAGGUGUGCCGACGGUAGGUGAUGUGCCUGCGCACAAAGCCCAAGUCGGUUGCAGUGAAACGGGGGUAGCGACUGUUUACCAAAAACACAGCACUCUGCAAACUCGUAAGAGGAUGUAUAGGGUGUGAUGCCUGCCCGGUGCCGGAAGGUUAAGAGGAGGAGUCAGCCGCAAGGCAAAGCCCCGAAUCGAAGCCCCGGUAAACGGCGGCCGUAACAAUAACGGUCCUAAGGUAGCGAAAUUCCUUGUCGGGUAAGUUCCGACCUGCACGAAUGGCAUAACGACUUCCUCACUGUCUCGGAGAGGCCCUCAGCGAAGUAGCACUAGGGGUGAAGAUACCCUUUACCCGCGGCAGGACGGAAAGACCCCGUGAACCUUUACUGUAACUUGGCACUGAUUUUCGGGUUAGCUUGCGUAGGAUAGGUGGGAGGCUAUGAAGCCGGGAUUCCGGUCUCGGCAGAGCCAACCUUGAAAUACCACCCUGGCUAACCUAAAAAUCUAACUCGCUUCCGUAAUCCGGAAGGAGGACAAUGCCUGGUGGGCAGUUUGACUGGGGCGGUCGCCUCCCAAAAAGUAACGGAGGCGCGCGAAGGUUCCCUCAGCCUGAUUGGAAACCAGGCGCAGAGUGUAAUGGCUUAAGGGAGCUUGACUGCGAGACAAACAAGUCGAGCAGGUGCGAAAGCAGGUCAUAGUGAUCCGGUGGUCCUGUAUGGAAAGGCCAUCGCUCAACGGAUAAAAGGUACUCCGGGGAUAACAGGCUUAUCACGCCCAAGAGUUCACAUCGACGGCGUGGUUAGGCACCUCGAUGUCGGCUCAUCGCAUCCUGGGGCUGAAGUAGGUCCCAAGGGUUCGGCUGUUCGCCGAUUAAAGCGGUACGCGAGCUGGGUUCAAAACGUCGUGAGACAGUUUGGUCCCUAUCCGCCGUGGGCGCAGGAGACUUGAGAGGAGCUAACCUUAGUACGAGAGGACCGGGUUGGACUGACCUCUAGUGUUCCGGUUGUGGCACCAGCCGCAUCGCCGGGCAGCUACGUCGGGAAUGGAUAACCGCUGAAAGCAUCUAAGCGGGAAGCCAACCUCAAGAUUAGGUCUCCCAGGUCGUAAGACCCUAAAGGCCCCUCGUAGACCACGAGGUAAUAGGCUGGGUGUGGA
rnacentral:rRNA from 1 species